GUUUAGCCCCGAUAGAAGUGGUAUUCUUUUGUGGCGGGGUUCGCCAUAAAAGAUAUAACGGAUAGCGGGACUGAAG
rfam:Flavobacterium spartansii strain MST NODE_1_length_1308521_cov_54.5264, whole genome shotgun sequence.